GUGCCAGCAGCCGCGGUAAUACGGAGGGUGCAAACGUUGCUCGGAAUCAUUGGGCGUAAAGCGCACGUAGGCGGACUGUUAAGUCGGAUGUGAAAUCCCUCAGCUUAACUGAGGAAGUGCACUCGAAACUGGCAGUCUUGAAUAUGGAAGAGGGUCGCGGAAUUCCCGGUGUAGAGGUGAAAUUCGUAGAUAUCGGGAGGAACACCAGUGGCGAAGGCGGCGACCUGGGCCAAUAUUGACGCUGAGGUGCGAAAGCGUGGGGAGCAAACAGGAUUAGAAACCCCCGUAGUCC
rnacentral:rRNA from 1 species